GAAGAAAGAAGACAAGGGCGAAGAUGAAGAAAGAAAACCAAAGGCGAUGAUAAAGACGGAAAACGAAGAAACGAAAUUCUUUCUUCGACGGCUCUGUCGAAGAAAGAAGAGUUAAGAACGAAGACCAAGGAUGAAGAUGCGAGGGCGAAGAUGAAGAAAGAAGACCAAGGGCGAAGAUGAAGAAAGAAGAGUUAAAGCAAAAAUUAAGAAAGAAGACCAACAGCGAAGGUGAAGAACAAAGAUCGAGGCCACAAUUGAGGAAAGAACGGUGUUGACGAAGAUGAAGAAAGAAGACCAAGGGUGUAGAUAAAGAAUAAAGGACGACGGCAAAUAUGAAGAAAAAAGACGGAGGGCGAAGUUUAAAAACGAAGACUAAGGUUGAAAAAUGAAAGAGAAGACCCAUCCAAACAAGUGAGGAAAUGAAGACCAAUGAUAAUGAGAGAGAAUAUGAAGACCAAUGAACAAUGACAAAACGAAAAAUGGACAUAGGGCAAAGACAAAGAACGAAGACAGAGCGCAAAAACGAAGAACGAAGUCAGAGCGCGAAGACAAAGAACCAAGACUGAAGAUGAAAAUAAAAUAAGAAAAAAACUGAUGUUCUUUAUCUGAAUAUGACUAAUGAAGACCAACUGUAGAGUACGAGAGUACACUGAAGAAGAAGAAAAGGUCAAACAAGAAAGAAGUUUAGGAUAGAGAAGAAAAAUAAUUUCUUUUAGAUUUUCAAAACAAAGGGAGAGACGAGCGCUACCGGAACAUAUAACAAAUCUACCAUGGACUUCCGUAAUUUAAAAAUUAUAUAUAACAUGAUCAUGAUAAAUUACAAUAAAUGCAAAUUGAUGUAGAUAACAGGAUAUUUAUUUAUGAUUUUAAUCAAUAAAUUAUAAUGAUCA
rnacentral:lncRNA from 1 species